rnacentral:lncRNA from 1 species
UUUCCCUGCGAAGGAAUCCAUCUGCACAGUUCAGUCAGGCAGGAGGUGCAAUAGGAUGCGCGUGUGUGGGUCUGUGCGCGCGCUUGCCGGCUAAGAGGUUCCCUUUUGGAGAGAACAGUCCACAGCGCUUCCAGGGUCUCAAGGAGGUCCUGGAGUCUCAGUAGCUUCUCAGGCCAGGGGCUGUCAUUGGUCACCCUCCGGGAUGCGCACCACCCUCUAGCGCUCACCCGGCGCCCUCUCGCUGUCACCCGCGCUCACCCUCUCGCCCUCUCGCCCUCUCCGGGGACGCGCGCUCCUGUUGGCUCCAGAACUGGUACCCGAGGCUACCAUGCAGAGCUAGCGUGCCUGUGUGUGUGGCAGGGAGGGGUGUGUAACGAUGGCCCAUCUAGACUCCGCAGGGAGCAGGAAGCUGACAUUCAAGGCCCCGCAGGGUCCCUGCGACCCGCGAAGUGCGCUGUGAUUGGAGGAUGAUCCUGUGGCCUCUGGCAGAGCAAGUGCGGAUCUGGUGCCUCCAUGUCCGCCUGGCGAGCAUAGCUGCGAGCACUGCUUCCCUGGGCAACCACGGGUCCCUUCCCCCAGUCCCUCCACCUUCACCACCGAGCGUGCUUCCUUUCGGAUGCAAAGGCUGUGGUUUCAGGGGUCUGGCGAUGCUGCUUGGGUAGCGAGGACGCAGGACAGGCUGAGGACUGAGCGAGCUCUCAUGCGCUUGGCCAGGAAAGCAGUGUUGACAGACACCAGGUGCACUGCGAGGGAAGUCGGGUGAGAGCGAAUCCCAACCCACUCCAGAUGCAGAGGUAAACAGCCGCCCGUCUGAACUGCUGUCCUCAAAUCCUUACCCAGAGGACCCCUCCCUGGACCUUGGACUGAUGCAGGCUCAACUCCAGGCAGCCUGGGCCCCUGGCUUUGGCGGAGGUCUGAGGCCGGAAGGAGGUGUGUGCCUGUGGGAGCAGGAGUCCUUUGAACUGUCUGCUCUGGACUCCUUUGGCCUUGUGUGAAUGUGGAACUCACUUAAGGUUGCUCCCCACCCCUGCUUCUUGUAUUAGUAUUCACCUGAUCCCGUGCAUCAGCA